GAUAAAAAUCUGAAGAUACCCUAGACUCUUCUUCUCCUUCACCUCCCAUGUCCAACCCCUCCCAGCUCCUAUUGACUUGACCUUGAAUGUCUCUCACCUCAUGCCUGUCUGCCGCACCUUUUACCACCUCUCAAAUUCAGACCCUGUUCCUUCCUCCCCUGGAUUAUUCCAGCAGCCUCCUCACUUCACCGCAUCCGUUCUGCCACUCUUCGCGCUGGCCACCUGAGUGGUCUUCCCAAAAUAUCCCCUCCCUACUUAAAAGUCUGCAGUGAGCCCUCCCGCCUGUGGGAUUACAACGGAACCCCUUACAAAGACGUUUCAAAGCUACUCAUGAUCCAGCCCCUGAGACGGCGUAUGUGACGCUCUCCGCACAGCGCCUGGAACAGGAAAAGCACAAUAAAUGUUCACAUUAUUACCAUUUUUACAAUGUCGCCCGGAGGUAAGAAGAGUUUGGGAGGACAGGAGAAUUGCCAUCAAGUACCUGAUGACCAGGCGUGUGAAAUAUGCAUCAGACUCUUUCUGUUUUCUUCCAAGAAACAGAAUUGGACAGACUGAGGGAGGCGGUGGAGAGGCAAGUUUCAUUUAAAUUGAAAGGCGACCUUUGUAACAGCCGGAAGCACCCAGCUGGAAGGAAGUGAACACCACUUCACCAGAAGAGUGUGGUGGAAUGUUCCGGUCUCCAUCAGAGGGAAUCAGCCCCACGCGUGCGUUCCCACAGCAUUUGGCUCACGAUCCCAUCAGAACACCUGCCUCGAUGCGUCUGGUCCCAGGUCCGGUCCCCUUUGGGUCGGAAGCUCCUUGAGGACAGGAGCAUUGUCUAGCCCCUGUCGCUGCAGUCUCCAUCAGCCCCAUGCAAGGGAGGGGGCAUUCAAAGGGAAGCCCUGCAGCGAUGGCCCAGCCUUACGACUGCCUGCACCUCAAAAAGAACCCCAGGAGAGCCGAGUCCCUGAGGACAGCAAUACUUUUUCAGGGAGCCAGCUGGGGCCACUGACCCUCUUCAAAAGCCCUGCCUAAGGCCGCCCUGGGACCCACCCUCAAGGGACUUGCUCCGAGGACAAGUGUGAGACCCCGUCUGUGGCAGCCGUGGCAUGGCUCAGCCACCACGGCUGUCCCCUGAGCACGGUCCCACCAACACUCACUUUGGGAGCCACGCGGGACCGAAUGCCGGUUUGCAUUUCCAAGCCCCGAUCGUACACGCGAUAGAGGCUCGUGCAGCCGUUUAACACAAAGCUGCCGCUCUGUAUUUAUUGACAUGGAAAGAUGUCCACAACAUAUUGUCGAGAGAAAAAAGCGUUUUACACCACA